rnacentral:misc_RNA from 1 species
AACGCACAUUGCGCCCUUUGGUAUUCCAAAGGGCAUGCCUGUUCGAGCGUCAUUUGUACCCUCAAGCUUUGCUUGGUGUUGGGCGUCUUGUCUCCCUCCCGAGACUCGCCUUAAAAUCAUUGGCAGCCGGCCUACUGGUUUCGGAGCGCAGCACAUUAUUUGCGCUCUUGUCCAGCCGCGGUCGCGCGUCCAUGAAGCUUCUUUCAACCUUUUGACCUCGGAUCAGGUAGGGAUACCCGCUGAACUUAA